rnacentral:misc_RNA from 1 species
GAUGAAGAACGCAGCAAAAUGCGAUAAGUAGUGUGAAUUGCAGAAUUCAGUGAAUCAUCGAAUCUUUGAACGCACAUUGCGCCCUUUGGUAUUCCGCAGGGCAUGCCUGUUCGAGCGUCAUUUCAACCCUCAAGCUCUGCUUGGUGUUGGGCCCUGCCCGCUGCGGCCGGCCCUAAAGACAGUGGCGGUGCCGCCUGGCCCUGAGCGUAGUACAUCUCUCGCUCCAGUGCCCGGUGGUAGCCUGCCAGAACCCCAACUCUCGUGGUUGACCUCGGAUCAGGUAGGGAUACCCGCUGAACUUAAGCAUAUCAAUAAGCGGAGGA